CGGGGGUGGGGCGGUCACGUGCGCCCGGGGGGCGGGGCCCCAAGCCACCCCGGAGCGGAACCGAGUCCCACCUAGAGGCUCCGUGCGAGGCACGAACUUUUCUCCAGGACCGAGGGACUGAACUUGGCCUGAACCCCUGGGAAGGACUCAAGGCACCCGUAGCCAGCACCGGGCUGAGGUGUCUGCGGCCGGCCUAGUGGACAGCGGUCGGUGGCAAAAGACACCAAGGAAAAGUGGGAACAGAAGCUUGGGGGUGAGUGAAGGGAUUUCGUCUCGCAGUUUUUACGCAGGCUCGGGUCUCCGUGUCUUCUGGGGUGGGCCUGGGCAAGUGCCCUGUCAGCUCUAAGGGAGCCGCCGAGGCCACUGUCCCUUAAGACUGCCGGGGUCCUCAGCACCUGUCUCGGGCUCCAGGAGAGGCUGUGGUCAUGGUGAAUGAAGAGCCCAACCAACAGGAGCACGAUGGCAGCCCAGCGCAGGAGCCUGCCCUGCGCGCGGACCCCAGCACCUCGGCCCACCCCAGCGUCUCCAUUCACCCCAGCGUGUCAGCCCACCCGAGCGUGUCGGCCCACCCCAGCGUCUCCAUUCACCUCAGCGUGUCGGCCCACCCGAGCGUGUCGGCCCACCCCAGCUUCUCCAUUCACCCCAGCGUGUCGGCCCACCCAAGCAGUCCGGCCCACCCCAGUACCUUGGCCCAACCCGGUGGCUUGGCCCAACCCGGUGGCUUGGCCCACCCCAGUAGCUCGUGCCCCGAGGACCUUAGCGUGGUCAAGGUGAGCAAGCGCCGCUGGGUGGUGGUCCUGCUCUUUAGCUGCUACUCCAUGUGCAAUGCCUUCCAGUGGAUCCAGUACGGCUCCAUCAAUAACAUCUUCAUGAACUUCUACGGGGUCAGUGCCUUUGCCAUCGACUGGCUGUCCAUGUGUUAUAUGCUGACCUACAUCCCUCUCAUCCUGCCGGUUGCCUGGCUGCUGGAGAAAUUCGGCCUGCGCACCAUCGCCCUCACCGGCUCUGCUCUCAACUGCCUGGGGGCCUGGGUGAAGUUGGGGAGCCCGAAGCCACAUCUCUUCCCAGUCACCGUCCUAGGCCAGAUCAUCUGCUCUGUGGCCCAGGUCUUCAUCCUGGGCAUGCCCUCCCGCAUUGCUUCUGUCUGGUUCGGGGCUAAUGAGGUCUCAACGGCCUGCUCCAUAGCUGUCUUUGGCAAUCAGCUUGGAAUUGCAAUUGGGUUCUUGGUCCCUCCUGUUUUGGUACCCAACAUCGAAGACCGGGACAAGCUUGCCUACCACAUCAGCAUCAUGUUUUACAUAAUAGCAGGCGUGGCUACUCUGCUUUUCAUCCUUGUCAUCAUCGUAUUCAAGGAGAAGCCUAAACAUCCCCCCAGCAGGGCCCAGUCCCUGAGCUAUGCCUUGGCAUCCCCUGAUGCUUCGUACUUAAGUUCCAUUGUUCGGAUCUUCAAAAACCUCAACUUUGUGCUGCUCGUCAUCACCUACGGUCUGAAUGCUGGUGCUUUUUAUGCCUUGUCCACUCUGCUGAAUCGCAUGGUGAUCUUGCACUACCCGGGGGAAGAAGUGAAUGCUGGAAGAAUAGGCCUGACCAUCGUCAUUGCAGGAAUGCUUGGGGCUAUGAUCUCAGGCAUCUGGCUGGAUAGGUCGAAAACCUACAAGGAGACAACCCUGGUGGUCUACAUCAUGACGGUAGUGGGCAUGGUGGUGUACACAUUGACCUUGAACCUGGGAUAUCUGUGGGUAGUGUUCAUCACCGCUGGCACAAUGGGCUUCUUCAUGACUGGCUACCUCCCGCUGGGAUUUGAGUUUGCUGUGGAGCUGACAUACCCAGAAUCAGAAGGCAUGUCGUCUGGCCUCCUGAAUGUGUCUGCCCAGGUAUUCGGGAUCAUCUUCACCAUCUCCCAGGGCCAGAUUAUUGACAACUACGGAACCAUGCCUGGGAACAUCUUUCUCUGUGUUUUCCUCACCCUUGGAGCAGCCCUCACUGCAUUCAUUAGGGCAGAUCUUCGGAGGCAGAAAGCAAACAAAGAAACUCCUGAGAAUAGCACGUCACUGUUGUCACAGUCUGCUGAGCAUCGCCCACUCCUUGGAUCCUGAGACAAGUCCUGAGACCCUGGCUGCACUGCUUUCAGCCUGGGGUCAGUGGCUGGAGAGGAAAGAGACUCCAGGGGGAGGAGGAGGAGGAGGAGGAGAGCAACACCAGCAAAGCGCCCACCACUGUGUCCGAGGAGCAUCUCUGAGAGAAAAGGUGGUGGCCAGCACUCCCCACCUCUUCCGUCAGCGCUCGCUGCCGGCACGCAGGUCUUCGCUGGAGCAGCUUUUGGAGGGAACCGGCUGGAAUGUUUGUAGCUUGGACGGCAGUGCCUCUGACUCCUGGAACCCACUCAAGAGCUUGCACGGUCUAGCGGGGGAAGAUGGUACCUUUCACCGAACGCAUGCUCCAUACCGGCCCCCUCCCCCUGGCAGGCUGAGGGAGCUGGUGUUGGGAGAGACUGGUGGAGAAUGGGGGUGCCUUGCCGUCCCCCUUCACCUGCAUCCCGCAAGGAGGGAGCCUGCAAAAUUAUCACGGAGAGAAAGCUUAUUCAGGAUAUUAACUUUUUCUAGAAUGGCAAGACCCCUGGAAGCCCAGUUCUAAGGAGAGGCAGCUGCUCUGGGUGAGGGUAAUUUUGGGCUCAUCACACUGGCUGCUAAUGUUCUGGGGGAGAGAAAGCGCCAGCAGGAAACAUCAGAACAGACCCAUCAGGACUCGGCCUCGCUUCUCCUGCCCUAAGGUUGGCGUCUGUUUCCAGACCCUUUCCUGAGAGCUGAUCAAACCAAACAUCAAUAAACUUGACAGAACCUUUGCUGUGGCCAUGAAGGAGAAACCCGUUGGGGAGGGUGACCUGCCUAGGUGUGGGAGGGCGCUGGUGAAGGCCUGAAUUUGGGAACUGUGGUAGCUUGAUGUGGGGACAGGAAGGUUCUUUUCUACAAAAUCUCUGCCCAGGACUUGUGUGUGUGUGUGUGUGUGUCGUCACCUCUGAUGCCUUCAUGUGGCCCCUGCCUUGAGAAGCUCUGCCAUCCGCCUCAGCGCUUCCUUUCUCUCAAGGGAGGGAAAUCCCAGCCAACUGCCUUGUAACCUUUACUGAAAACUAACCUUGUUUCAUUCCACCCUGAGAAAUCCACGCUGCUUCUGAGAGAGGAGAGGAAGGGGGCAGAAGGAAAGGCGGCCCCUGAAAUGGGAAUUGAGUCUGCUUGAAUGAAGUGCCUCCUGCCUCUGGAGGGGGUGGUUUUCGCACACCCACCCCUUCUUCCCCUCCCCUUCCAGCAAUCAUCUUUUAACAGAUAUUGUGAAUUUAAGGGAUUCCCUUUAAACCAACCCAGGGUGACCUCCUCGCCUGCCCAGCCUGCUGUCUGGCUCUACUCACAGGCUGGGGUAGUGUCCCCUGAAAAGAAGAUGUUUUAGUAAUUUCUCCUGCAUUGAGCAGCUGUGAUCAUGACCAUUGGUGCUGUUCGGCUGUGACCACUGGCCGGUCUCGGCGUCCGGGGGCAGCCUGGGUUGGAGGGCCACGGUGCCUGGGUCAUUGCCCGCGGGGAGCCGGGUGUGUGUGUGUGUGUGUGUGUGUGUUUGUACAGACAUUCCGGAUGUUCUGUAUGUAAGAGAAGUUCACACUUCUGCUGGGGGGAGUGAUGGGGGUGGAAGAGAGGUGGAAAGAAAGCAUGUCUUGAUUUUUGAUAGGGAGAAAGGUGUUCACUCUUCAGCUCCUUAAAGCUUUUUAACAAAAUGUUUA